rnacentral:rRNA from 1 species
CUAAGCAUAUCAAUAAGCGGAGGAAAAGAAACCAACAGGGAUUGCCUUAGUAACGGCGAGUGAAGCGGCAAAAGCUCAAAUUUGAAAUCUGGCACCUUCGGUGUCCGAGUUGUAAUUUGAAGAAGGAAGGUUUAUGGGUCUUGUCUAUGUUCCUUGGAAUAGGACGUCACAGAGGGUGAGAAUCCCGUGCGAUGAGAUUCCGUAUUGUAAUCUUCCUUCGAAGAGUCGAGUUGUUUGGGAAUGCAGCUCUAAGUGGGUGGUAAAUUCCAUCUAAAGCUAAAUAUUGGCGAGAGACCGAUAGCGAACAAGUACAGUGAUGGAAAGAUGAAAAGAACUUUGAAAAGAGAGUGAAAAAGUACGUGAAAUUGUUGAAAGGGAAGGAUUUGAGAUCAGACUUGGUAUUUUGCAACCUUACUCUCGUGGUGGGGCCCCUGCAGUUUACUGGGCCAGCAUCAGUUUGGAUGAUGGGAUAAGGACAUUGGAAUGUGACUCUGCCUCGGUGGAGUGUUAUAGCCUUUGUUGAUACCGUCUAUCUAGACUGAGGACUGCGUC